UACGUAGGUGGCAAGCGUUGUCCGGAUUUACUGGGCGUAAAGAGCGCGCAGGCGGUUGGAUAAGUCGAAUGUGAAAGCCCCCGGCUUAACUGGGGAGGGUCAUUCGAUACUGUUCAACUUGAAGGCAGGAGAGGGCAGCAGAAUUCCUGGUGUAGUGGUGAAAUGCGUAGAUAGUCGGGAGGAAUACCAGUGGCGAAGGCGGCUGCCUGGCCUGUUCUUGACGCUGAGGCGCGAAAGCUGGGGGAGCAAACGGG
rnacentral:rRNA from 1 species